GUCGUGAUGUCCGAGUGGUUAAGGAGUGAGACUUGAAUGCUUAUUCGAUAUCUCAUGGGUUCGCCUGCGUAGGUUCAAAUCCUGCUCACGACG
rnacentral:tRNA from 1 species